UACGAAGGGGGCUAGCGUUGCUCGGAAUUACUGGGCGUAAAGCGCUCGUAGGCGGCUUUCUAAGUCGGGGGUGAAAUCCUGGAGCUCAACUCCAGAACUGCCUUCGAUACUGGAGAGCUCGAGUCCGGGAGAGGCGAGUGGAACUGCGAGUGUAGAGGUGAAAUUCGUAGAUAUUCGCAAGAACACCAGUGGCGAAGGCGGCUCACUGGCCCGGUACUGACGCUGAGGUGCGAAAGCGUGGGGAGCAAACAGG
rnacentral:rRNA from 1 species